ACGAACGCUGGCGGCGUGCCUAACACCAUAGCAAAGUCAACUUGACUGAAGGAGCAAUCUGACAGUAGAGUGGCGCAAGGGUGCGUAACGCGUAAGUAACUUGCCCAAGGUAAGGAAUAACGUCGAGAAAUCGGCGCUAAUACCUCAUAAUGCAGCGGAUCCGCAUGGAUAUGUUGUUAAAGGUUUACCGCCUUGGGAUAGGCUUGCGUCUGAUUAGCUAGUUGGUGUGGUAACGGCACACCAAGGCUACGAUCAGUAACUGGUCUGAGAGGAUGAUCAGUCACACUGGAACUGAGACACGGUCCAGACUCCUACGGGAGGCAGCAGUGAGGAAUAUUGGGCAAUGCUCGAAAGAGUGACCCAGCAACGCCGCGUGGAGGAUGAAGGUAUUCUAUGUCGUAAACUCCUGUGAGAGCAGACGAAAGACAGAUUAUUAAUCUGGAUGACUGUAUGCUCAGAGGAAGCCCCGGCUAACUACGUG
rnacentral:rRNA from 1 species